UACGGGGGGGCAAGCGUUGUUCGGAAUUACUGGGCGUAAAGGGCUCGUAGGCGGCCAACUAAGUCAGACGUGAAAUCCCCUCGGCUUAACCGGGGAACUGCGUCUGAUACUGGAUGGCUUGAGUUCGGGAGAGGGAUGCGGAAUUCCGAGGUGUAGCGGUGAAAUGCGUAGAUAUCUGGAGGAACACCGGUGGCGAAGGCGGCAUCCUGGGACCGACACGUGAACGCUGAGGAGCGAAAGCCAGGGGAGCAAACGGGG
rnacentral:rRNA from 1 species